CUGCUGCCUUCCGUAGGAGUCUGGACCGUGUCUCAGUUCCAAUGUGGGGGACCUUCCUCUCAGAACCCCUACGCAUCGUCGGCUUGGUGGGCCGUUGCCCCACCAACUACCCUAAUGCGCCGCAUGCCCAUCCGUGACCGGAGUCGCCCCCUUUGGCCGGAAAGGGAUGUCCCUUCCCGGCGUCAUGCUGUAUUAGGCGGGAUUUCUCCCGGUUAUCCAUCUGUCACGGCCAGGUUGCAUACGUGUUACUCACCCGUGCGCCGGUCGCCGG
rnacentral:rRNA from 1 species